UCUCAGAGAAGGAGCUUAGCCUACUCCACAGUGAAGUUAUUCAGUACAGAAGUGAUUUCAUUUUCAAAGCUAUCGCCUUUUGGACAAAAGAGAUAUGCCAUUUGAAAAACAGAGGGGAUGGUUUCCCUCUGUAUGUCAUGGCAUUAAAACCAGAAGAGAAUUAAGGGUCUUAGUGACCGUGGUCUACAUCUGCUGGCAAAUCAGUGGAGCCAACGGACAACU